UCCUCGAAUUCCCACCCAAUAUCAAAGCCAAUCACUGAUUGCGUUUGAAGAUGGAAGCCCUUGUGGCAUCAACAAACAGGAGCUUGAGUGGGUCACGCCAGUUCUUUGUUGAAAAGGAAACAAAUCCAUAAAAGAACAUGCUGUUCUUUAAAAGUUGUAUUUUAACUUAAGGAUAAACUGUGGGAUUAAUAUUUUGACCUAACUUGCGUUCUGAGGUUUGGUUGGGUUAUUUUUCUUUUUUUAAAGACCUAAUGAUUAAGACAGACUCCAGUGUUAUGGCCUAUCUGUGAAGUGUCACCCACACGUCUCAUAAACACACAGCCUUUACCAGCAUAUCCUGUUCUAGGUUUCACAGAAACUCACUUAACUCUCAUGGCAACACUUCAAGGCAGCCAGGCAAGUGUUAGUACUCCCAUUUUAUGGUUGAGGAAAUUAAGGCCCUCAAAGAGUUAAGGUUUAAACCUAUGUCUUUCCACUACAGCUUAUAUAUGAAGAGCCCUGUCAAUUUUCCCACCGCUGUGCAUCAUGGAUACCAAACAGCCACACACAGAAAAGAGCUGAGCACACUGCCCUGUGCUGCGUGGCCUUACCCACACAGACAGACCAAGACCAGACGGAUGGAGAACUGAGGCAGGUCCUAAAAGAAGUGGUAGAUCGGCUGUCCCAGAAGGCAGCUGGGUAGUAAGAGCAACAGCUGAGGAUUUCCUCGGUGAAGAGACCUGGCAUUGGUCCCUGGACCCAGUGUGCCCCGAGAACUCGUCAUUGGCCCAGCAUCCCCCUCACCUCCUAGGAUCAGUAACCUGAAUUUCCUCCAAAAAACUACCCUUUCCCCAUUCUCAGCCAUCCGGUUUAGCUGAUGAGCCCCCUCCUAGUCCUAGGGAUGGAUCCUAAUUUGUUUAUACACAAUGACCCCUAGCCAUGUUCACAAGCUAUCUUUAAGAACAACAACAAAUCUCCAUGGCUUUAAUAUAACAGGGGUUUAUUUCUUGCUCAAGGGCCCUAAUGGAUGGGUGACCUUUCUCCAUGCAGUGAUUCAGGGACCCAGGCUCC
rnacentral:lncRNA from 1 species